GAUGAACGCUGGCGGCGUGCCUAAUACAUGCAAGUCGAGCGAACAGACGAGGAGCUUGCUCCUCUGACGUUAGCGGCGGACGGGUGAGUAACACGUGGAUAACCUACCUAUAAGACUGGGAUAACUUCGGGAAACCGGAGCUAAUACCGGAUAACAUGUUGAACCGCAUGGUUCAACAGUGAAAGACGGUCUUGCUGUCACUUAUAGAUGGAUCCGCGCCGCAUUAGCUAGUUGGUAAGGUAACGGCUUACCAAGGCAACGAUGCGUAGCCGACCUGAGAGGGUGGUCGGCCACACUGGAACUGAGACACGGUCCAGACUCCUACGGGAGGCAGCAGGGGGGAAUCUUCCGCAAUGGGCGAAAGCCUGACGGAGCAACGCCGCGUGAGUGAAGAAGGUCUUCGGAUCGUAAAACUCUGUUAUUAGGGAAGAACAAAUGUGUAAGUAACUAUGCACGUCUUGACGGUACCUAAUCAGAAAGCCACGGCUAACUACGUG
rnacentral:rRNA from 1 species